rnacentral:rRNA from 1 species
GUGGGGAAUCUUAGACAAUGGGGGAAACCCUGAUCUAGCCAUGCCGCGUGAGCGAUGAAGGCCUUAGGGUUGUAAAGCUCUUUCAGCUGGGAAGAUAAUGACGGUACCAGCAGAAGAAGCCCCGGCUAACUCCGUGCCAGCAGCCGCGGUAAUACGGAGGGGGCUAGCGUUGUUCGGAAUUACUGGGCGUAAAGCGCGCGUAGGCGGACCAGAAAGUUGGAGGUGAAAUCCCAGGGCUCAACCUUGGAACUGCCUUCAAAACUCCUGGUCUGGAGUUCGAGAGAGGUGAGUGGAAUUCCGAGUGUAGAGGUGAAAUUCGUAGAUAUUCGGAGGAACACCAGUGGCGAAGGCGGCUCACUGGCUUGAUACUGACGCUGAGGUGCGAAAGCGUGGGGAGCAAACAGGAUUAGAAACCCGAGUAGUCC